GAUAAUAUCACUGAUGUGUCUGCAUCGAACACGACCCUGAAUACUCCGACACCUUCUGCACCAGCAACACAAGCAGCCGUGAUGGUCGUGCUGCUGCUUACCAGGAAGCUGAUGAAGAGAGGACGGAGAGGCCUUGAUGUCAGCUCCCCACACGAGGACAUAUACAAUAGUGCACGGCCUGAUGAAGUCUACCAAUCCCUCCACCCGUUGACAAUGGAUGAAGACCAAGUGUACAGCUCUCUCACAGAGGGGUCUGCUCUCCACACAACUUUAGACGACCACUGCAGCAGAAAAUAAUGAUUCAAUCUUUAUUAUAUGUGAGAUAAAUGCAAACAUUUCACCUCCGUCCUCAAGCUUUUUAUCUUUUUGAAUUGGAGUUAUUUUUACAAAGAGACUUGACAUCAAGAGAAUAAUUCAGUUUGCAUUGUCUGUGAAAUGAAGCUCAGCGUAAGUUCAACCAGGAAGACCGUCUAUUCACUAUUCCUACGUAACUACUCUCUCUCCUCUCAAUAAGUGAUCGGGGCGUCACUCUCCAGCUUAACCAAUCACUUCGCUCUAAGCCUAUCAUAGCGCUCUGCCAAACCUUUUAAAUCUGCUCUCCCCUCUGACAGCUGUCAUUUCAGGUGACUCCAUGCAACCCUCAUCCACCCCUUUUCACCUCCUGUCCCUCUGAAUCCAGGUUCAAGCUAGCUAAGCCCCUCCCCUUCAGA